rnacentral:rRNA from 2 species
AGACCCGAAACCCGGUGAUCUAGCCAUGGGCAGGUUGAAGGUUGGGUAACACUAACUGGAGGACCGAACCGACUAAUGUUGAAAAAUUAGCGGAUGACCUGUGGCUGGGGGUGAAAGGCCAAUCAAACCGGGAGAUAGCUGGUUCUCCCCGAAAGCUAUUUAGGUAGCGCCUCGUGAAUUCAUCUCCGGGGGUAGAGCACUGUUUCGGCUAGGGGGCCAUCCCGGCUUACCAACCCGAUGCAAACUGCGAAUACCGGAGAAUGUUAUCACGGGAGACACACGGCGGGUGCUAACGUCCGUCGUGAAGAGGGAAACAACCCAGACCGCCAGCUAAGGUCCCAAAGUCAUGGUUAAGUGGGAAACGAUGUGGGAAGGCCCAGACAGCCAGGAUGUUGGCUUAGAAGCAGCCAUCAUUUAAAGAAAGCGUAAUAGCUCACUGGUCGAGUCGGCCUGCGCGGAAGAUGUAACGGGGCUAAACCAUGCACCGAAGCUGCGGCAGCGACGCUGAUGCGUUGUUGGGUAGGGGAGCGUUCUGUAAGCCUGUGAAGGUGUGUCGUGAGGCAUGCUGGAGGUAUCAGAAGUGCGAAUGCUGACAUAAGUAACGAUAAAGCGGGUGAAAAGCCCGCUCGCCGGAAGACCAAGGGUUCCUGUCCAACGUUAAUCGGGGCAGGGUGAGUCGACCCCUAAGGCGAGGCCGAAAGGCGUAGUCGAUGGGAAACGGGUUAAUAUUCCCGUACUUGGUGUUACUGCGAAGGGGGGACGGAGAAGGCUAUGUUGGCCGGGCGACGGUUGUCCCGGUUUAAGCGUGUAGGCUGGUUUUCCAGGCAAAUCCGGAAAAUCAAGGCUGAGGCGUGACGACGAGGCACUACGGUGCUGAAGCAACAAAUGCCCUGCUUCCAGGAAAAGCCUCUAAGCAUCAGGUAACAUCAAAUCGUACCCCAAACCGACACAGGUGGUCAGGUAGAGAAUACCAAGGCGCUUGAGAGAACUCGGGUGAAGGAACUAGGCAAAAUGGUGCCGUAACUUCGGGAGAAGGCACGCUGACACGUAGGUGAAGUGAUUUACUCAUGGAGCUGAAGUCAGUCGAAGAUACCAGCUGGCUGCAACUGUUUAUUAAAAACACAGCACUGUGCAAACACGAAAGUGGACGUAUACGGUGUGACGCCUGCCCGGUGCCGGAAGGUUAAUUGAUGGGGUCAGCGCAAGCGAAGCUCCUGAUCGAAGCCCCGGUAAACGGCGGCCGUAACUAUAACGGUCCUAAGGUAGCGAAAUUCCUUGUCGGGUAAGUUCCGACCUGCACGAAUGGCGUAAUGAUGGCCAGGCUGUCUCCACCCGAGACUCAGUGAAAUUGAACUCGCUGUGAAGAUGCAGUGUACCCGCGGCAAGACGGAAAGACCCCGUGAACCUUUACUAUAGCUUGACACUGAACAUUGAGCCUUGAUGUGUAG